AGCAGUCGCCACGGGAAUACGAAGGGUGCAAGCGUUAAUCGGAAUUACUGGGCGUAAAGCGUGCGUAGGCGGUUUGUUAAGUCAGAUGUGAAAUCCCCGAGCUUAACUUGGGAACUGCAUUUGAAACUGGCAAGCUAGAGUCUUGUAGAGGGGGGUAGAAUUCCAGGUGUAGCGGUGAAAUGCGUAGAGAUCUGGAGGAAUACCGGUGGCGAAGGCGGCCCCCUGGACAAAGACUGACGCUCAGGUGCGAAAGCGUGGGGAGCAAACAGGAUUAGAUACCCGCGUAGUCCCUGUCUCUUAUAC
rnacentral:rRNA from 1 species